rnacentral:rRNA from 1 species
UUUAAAUGGCCGCAGUAUAUUAACUGUGCAAAGGUAGCAUAAUAAUUAGUUUUUUAAUUGAAGGCUGGAAUGAAUGGUUGAACGAAAUAUUAACUGUUUCAUAAUAAUUUAAAUUAGAAUUUAAUUUUUUAGUUAAAAAGCUAAAAUUUAUUUAAAAGACAAGAAGACCCUAUAAAUCUUUAUAUUAAAUUUAUUUUAAUUAUAUUUAAUUUUAUUAUAUUAAAUUUAAUAUUUUAUUGGGGUGAUAAUAAAAUUUAAUAAACUUUUUUCUUUUUUUUCAUUUAUUUAUGAAUUAUUGAUCCAUUAUUAAUGAUUAAAAAUUUAAGUUACUUUAGGGAUAACAGCGUAAUUUUUUUGAAGAGUUCUUAUUGAUAAAAAAGAUUGCGACCUCGAUGUUGGAUUAAGAGAUAAGUUUAGGUGUAGUGGCUUAAAUUUUAAGUCU